UACGGAGGGAGCUAGCGUUGCUCGGAAUCACUGGGCGUAAGGCGCACGUAGGUGGGUCGUUAAGUUGAGGGUGAAAUCCCAGGGCUCAACCCUGGAACUGCCUUCAAUACUGGCGACCUUCGAGUCCGGGAGAGGUGAGUGGAACUGCGAGUGUAGAGGUGAAAUUCGUAGAUAUUCGCAAGAACACCAGUGGCGAAGGCGGCUCACUGGCCCGGUACUGACACUGAGGUGCGAAAGCGUGGGGAGCAAACAGG
rnacentral:rRNA from 1 species